rnacentral:lncRNA from 1 species
GGGCAUGCAAACUUCACUAUGAAAAAGAAAAUUUUACAAGAGGAGACCUCACCCUCAACCCUUGUACACCCAAUUCUCUCUCACUAGAAGUUUCCCUCACAAAAGUUCUCUCUCUCUUGAAGACCCCCCUGAACCCCUGAAGUGCCUGGCGAUCGCUGUCAGGAGCCACUUGCUCCUCUCUCAGUGCUUCCGCCUCUCCCUUCUCUUGGGUUCCGUACGAGCUUCGUACGGUGCAAAA